AACGAGCGCUGGCGGCAGGCUUAACACAUGCAAGUCGAACGCCCCGCAAGGGGAGUGGCAGACGGGUGAGUAACGCGUGGGAAUCUACCUAGUUCUACGGAACAACAGUUGGAAACGACUGCUAAUACCGUAUACGCCCUAUGGGGGAAAGAUUUAUCGGAAUUAGAUGAGCCCGCGUAAGAUUAGCUAGUUGGUGAGGUAAUGGCUCACCAAGGCGACGAUCUUUAGCUGGUCUGAGAGGAUGAUCAGCCACACUGGGACUGAGACACGGCCCAGACUCCUACGGGAGGCAGCAGUGGGAAUAUUGGACAAUGGGCGCAAGCCUGAUCCAGCCAUGCCGCGUGAGUGAUGAAGGCCUUAGGGUUAUAAAGCUCUUUCAGUAGGGAAGAUAAUGACGGUACCUACAGAAGAAGCCCCGGCUAACUUCGUGCCAGCCGCCGCCGUAACAC
rnacentral:rRNA from 1 species